GGCGUGGUAGCCAAGCGGUAAGGCAGUGGUCUGCAAAACCACUAUGCACCGGUUCGAUCCCGGUCCACGCCU
rnacentral:tRNA from 2 species